UACGAAGGGGGCUAGCGUUGCUCGGAAUUACUGGGCGUAAAGCGCACGUAGGCGGCUUUCUAAGUCGGGGGUGAAAUCCUGGAGCUCAACUCCAGAACUGCCUUCGAUACUGGAGAGCUCGAGUCCGGGAGAGGUGAGUGGAACUGCGAGUGUAGAGGUGAAAUUCGUAGAUAUUCGCAAGAACACCAGUGGCGAAGGCGGCUCACUGGCCCGGUACUGACGCUGAGGUGCGAAAGCGUGGGGAGCAAACAGG
rnacentral:rRNA from 1 species